GCAAACAUGAAACAAUACAUGGGAAAAUGUUUAUAUUCGUAAUAUUCUUAUGGUGAAGAGAAUACUGCAUGUGAUUCACAAUACAUAAAAGUUCCUAUUAGCAACCAUCUCUACUCACAGAUCCAUAUGUUGAAAGUUAAUAAUAUCUGAAGCAAAAAAGUGGAUUGCUUAGUGGCCAUGAAAAGAAAAGCAACUGGGAUAUGGCCUAAACUCACAGAUUUGUAAAAUGUGUUUGAAGCCAUAACUUUUGGGAUUUUAAAUAUUUCUUCAUCACCAAAUGACAAUACACAUGAAGAAAGUAAGAGGGAAUAGCUUGCGGAGUUUGGGCUUGCUGCAGUCAGGAAUUGUAACUUUGAGCAGAAGUAGUGCUGGCCAGCAGAGAAGCCAAUACAGCUUGCCGUACCACUUGGCCCCUGCUGGUGGGUGUCGGAGGGACUGCGCUGUAAAGGAAAAA